rnacentral:tRNA from 1 species
GGAGGUGGCAGAGUGGCUUAAUGCAGCUGUCUUAUAAACAGCCGAACCUUUAAAAGGGUUCCGUGGGUUCGAAUCCCACCCUCUCCG